AUUGAACGCUGGCGGCAGGCCUAACACAUGCAAGUCGAGCGGAUGAAGAGAGCUUGCUCUCUGAUUCAGCGGCGGACGGGUGAGUAAUGCCUAGGAAUCUGCCUGGUAGUGGGGGACAACGUUUCGAAAGGAACGCUAAUACCGCAUACGUCCUACGGGAGAAAGCAGGGGACCUUCGGGCCUUGCGCUAUCAGAUGAGCCUAGGUCGGAUUAGCUAGUUGGUGAGGUAAUGGCUCACCAAGGCGACGAUCCGUAACUGGUCUGAGAGGAUGAUCAGUCACACUGGAACUGAGGCACGGUCCAGACUCCUACGGGAGGCAGCAGUGGGGAAUAUUGGACAAUGGGCGAAAGCCUGAUCCAGCCAUGCCGCGUGCGUGAAGAAGGUCUUCGGAUUGUAAAGCACUUUGAGUUGGGAGGAAGGGCAGUAAGUUAAUACCUUGCUGUUUUGACGUUACCGACAGAAUAAGCACCGGCUAACUCUGUGCCAGCCGCCGCAGUAAGAC
rnacentral:rRNA from 1 species